CAGCUCUUGGCUGGCUGCGGCAUCCUGUGAGCGCUGCAGAAAAACACCCUGACGUCAUGUCUCGGACUCUGCCAAGGAGAAGGAGCUGGGUUUGCUGGGAAUGGGGAACUAUCGGCAAGCAGAAGGGUUGGCUGGAGGUGCUCCCAAAAAGGCAGGAGGGGUUUGUGCCCUGGGAGGUGCUGCCCCGCAUGAGGAUCGGAGGAAGGUUGGGUUUGAGAUGUAGGAUUGUAUUAUUAUCCUUAUUUUUAUGGAGAUCUCGUCUGGGUGAUCAGGAUUGGGAAGGAGGGGGGGUGCGGGGGAAAGGCAGCAGGAGCUUUGUAAUGUAACAAGUGGUGGUGGUUUGUGCUGAGCUCGGCGAAGCAGCUCCCAGAAGGGUUAGACAAGAGCAAGUGCAAAAGGAAAAGGGGGAGGAAAUGUCCUUUAUUUCAGUGGCAGAGAGCCACGAGCACAGCUCAGCUGUGCUGGAAGACAAACCUGCCGCUCCCUCACUCCCUGUCCCCUCCUGCUGCUCCUUUACAUCGCUGGAGCACCGUGUUGCUGUGCUGUCUGGCCUCUCCCUCCAUCCCCACGCGGUAUCUGCCACCUCACCCCGUUCCUUUUGCAAAGCAGAGAAAGCUGACAAAGGGGGAGGAGAGCUCUGGGAUCUGAUCCCGCUGGGAUCAGGCUGGUCCGACUGCAGAGCGCUUUCGCAGCACCGAUUCCCGUCACCCCCAACUUCUGGCUUAGCAGCAGGCUGCGUUACAGCGGAGUUGGCCAUCGUGGAACAGGAGCUGCUGCUCGUGGGGAGGAAAAGCGUUCUGCUGCGCUACCACGGGGUGACUAAUCCCCUGCAUGUGUCUCCAGAGCUGGAGUGAAGGCUUUGAUGUGUCACUGAGCAUUAUUCCCCCACCCCACCCUCUGCUUUUCCACUCUUGAACAGAAAAGAUGAAUCACGGCAACCAUUCACCCUUUCAUAAAACGCACUCCUUUCCUUCUUUCUUUAUUUCUUUCUUCCUUUCUUCCCCCCACCCCCUUUAAAUUAGCAGCCUGCUUCCCCUGGAGCAGCGGUACCAGCACUGGAAGGAUGAGCUCAGGGCUUUGCUUUCUGCAUCACCGAGUGCCUGCCCAACCUUCCACACAAGUCCAUGUCCCAAAUUCCCUCUCUCCACUCACUACAACAGGGUGCACUUUCAAAGCAAGACACAACGAUCUCAAUGAACAAGCAUAGAAGGGGUAAUUAGGGACCCCAAUCCCACCUGGCUUUUUGGGGUGCAGAAAGCCUUUGUGCCAUCAGAGUGAUGCUAAAAGGCCCACCCUGCUGCUACAAAGCGUGAAUCUCCAAGUUUCAGCCUCACCUCCUGCUGCACAAAUGGGCUUUUUAGCUCCCCAAAUGAAUGGCUUGCAGUGAGCGGGACCAACGCUGAGUGCAGCACUUGAGGUGCAGCCUCAAUGAUGUCGGUACAGCGGGAUGAUCCCCUCCUGCUCCUGCUGCCUGCAUCACCACUGGGACAAGACAGGAUGUGGUUGGCCUUCUUGGCCACAAGAAGAGGAAGCAGAAGGACAGGGGAGCCUUAAGGCUGAGAAAAGGCAUCAUUUGUAAUAGAGAGAAAGCAAGCAUCUGUGCAUUUCAUCUCACUGCUAAUUGCCGAACCGGACCGAUUGCUUUUGGUUUAGGAGCCAGGAUGAAGCACAGCCAUUACGAUGCAUUUUGGAGAGCGAGCGCACGGUACAAGAAAACACUCAACUAAAACAAAAGAAGGUGAGCACUGUGCGGAUCUGAGCUACGCUGCAAGCUGAUGGGGCAGCUGCAAUCAGAUCAUCCUCCUUCACACAACGGUGUUGGAGGGGAUGGUUCCCAUGAGAGCUUUAAGAUCUCCUUGGGGAGGCCGAGCUGCCAGGUUGGCACCGCUCGGCGUCGCGGCGCUUUGUGCUUACCCUGAGCGCGGCCGGGACGACGGCGCGGAGCCGGAGAGGGGAGCAGCCCCUGCCAAAGCCAAAUCCCGAUUUACCUGCCGUGGUUCUGCACCGCUGAGCGGUUCAGCCCUUGUUGCCACAGUAACACUUGUGGUGUAGCCGAGAUCACUGAUUAUGAAACUCGAAAAAUCAGAGGCUGCUAAUUAGGGUGUACUCCAGUGCUCAAAUGGCUCCCUGUGAGCGAUGUGACAAUGGCAAGCACGGGGAAGAUGAACGCCACAAAGCAACAUGUUGCUCAGCACUGAGGUGCUGCCUGCCCAGCAAGCAGCUUUUGGGGCAGUUUUAAAGAAUUCAGCUUGUUUUCCUCCUGGUUAAAUGCAAGACUCAGCAGAGCAGACCUUACCCUUUACAUACAUUUGCAUUGCGUUGCAUAUAUUAUGCCCCUUAUUUGCAAGAAGGACAGACACAGAGAUAGCUCGAGCGCAGUGCAGGGAUGCACUCCCAGCCCCACAGCCUCUCACAUUAGGAAGUUUGCAAACGAGGGGAACUGGAGCUGAAAACAUCUCCCUCCUUUGCUGCUGUACGAGCCUGCCAAAAGCUCUGGAAGCACAUCUUGUGCUGAAGGCUCCAAGAAUCGGAGCUGAGAAUCUGCAGUGCUGCUGGAUGCAAGCAUUUCCAGCUCAACCUACAAGUAGGUUAGCAGAGCACACAGCAAGUGCAAGGAGAACAGCUCGGCAGAGUUUGGAGUGCCGUGGUUCAGUAGCAUGCUGGAGGUUGGGCUUGAUGUUCUUAGCAGUCUUUCCAACCUUAAUGAAUCUGGAGGUGUCGUUUCUAACCCUCCAACAGGCUUGUUUACAGGAAUUAAGCUUUUAAUGCUGUGUGAUCGUGUCUGCAGUGCACUGUAAGCUGUUCUGAUGCGACCACAGAGAGAACAUCUGCUUUUGUGAACAAUUAGCCAAAUUACCAUCAAUUAGGGGGAGUGCAGGUAAGAGCAGCGCAAGCAAAUGUGCAGAAGGCUGCGCUAGGAGGCCGCCCUAGGAGGAGGGAUGUCCCGACGCUCCCUCUGACACGUUCCUCCUGGAAGCAAAGCUUUUCUCCUGUCCUUUGGAAGUGAUUUCAACUCAUUUCCAACUCCUGGAUAAGCACAUCUGCACGCAGAGCAAUUUGAGAAGAGCCUUACGGUCACAACCCGGAAUAAUCUGUGUGCAGACAACACUUGAGAAAGCCCAAAUCCACCAAAUUAUACAACUAGAACCAUCACAGAGGAAGAAUCUGCAGCAUGGAGCCAACAAGCAUGGAAGGAGUGGGAUGGGACGAAGGGAACAGAGCGGUUGCUCAAGAAUGCCCAGCAAUGCCUGCACUACCGGGGUACUGGGGCCAGCAGGCUUACACAGCAGCUCUUGCAAAAACACUGUCUGAAAAAGGUUUGGAAAAUGGUUCAUUAGAAAAAAAUAAUGAUAUAGAAGCUACAGCUAUAAAAACAGAUCCGUCUCCCAAAUAUUUCCUCUCCUCGGCCCACGCUCCUGAACAACGACCAAACUCCUGUUUUGCCUCCGGUGGCUCUAUUUCCACGCGGGUGUUUUUCUUUCCACGUGUCCUUGUCCAGAAGGAAGCGAUGCUGAAGGGUUCAGAGCCCCACCGCAGUGCUGGGCACAUCACUCCCAACAUGAUCAUGCUUUGAAACAAAAAGACAGCCGAGAAAGGCUGUUACUUUGGGAUAAGUGGGGCUGAUCUGAAGAGGCCGCUGCUCAGACAAAAGCCUUGGCGCAUUUCCAUGGUUACUGCCACGCAUCCCCUGGAGCGGAGGAUGUCCUUCUCCCGUCGCAGAAGACGCUAACAGCCAGCAGCCAUGCACAGCAUUAUGCAGGGUGAAGGGCAGAGAAACCAUCAGCUCGUGGAAGGGGAAGAUGUGGGUUUCUUUUUUGUACUUUUCAUAUCUUUCGGCACAACCACUGGGCGCGAUGGCUCUGCCAUCAGACAAAGCAUCGUCAGCCCUUGGAGGACAAUGUCCCCCAGGGGGUAGUGUGGGGUCCAGUCUUGUUCAACAUCUUUAUCAACGACCUCAAUGAAGGGACAGAGUCAACCCAAGUUUGCUGGAAGGACUGGCAGACUGAAAUGUUUCCUGAGGUUGUUUCCACUUUGACAGCCUGGGUGUGUUGUGUGCUCAGUUCUGUGCAACACCUCCUCAGCGUUCCCUUUACUUUUUCAUGGGCAAAAUGUUCCCUGUGUUGCAGGAGCAUCGUGAAAGCAACGUCAUCUCCAACCUGUUUCGCCAGGAAAUCCCCAGCCUAAACCACAACCAAUUGCCUUUUGUCAUCAAAGACACAAGAAACCGCAGAGCGUGGUGUGGUUUCUGCAUCCUCAGUGGGGACAGUUGCACCUGCGGGGCCAGUAGAGAAACCCCCUUCACUGGUGCAAGAGGAACCGUGUCGUGGUGUAACUACAGAAGGGACCCACAAGGAUCGCUGGUCCGACCCCUGGCUCCACACAGCACCACCCCAAACCCAAAGGAAGGAAAUGGAUCACCAGAGCAAUGGGAAGGCUCCUUGAGGACACCCAAGGGAGGCCACCAGGAUGGACCCAUCUUCCUUCCCUCUAGAUGGAGCUGCAGGAGAAGCCUGAGGUCCCUUCCCAACACAAAGGAGAGUGGUUGAGCCUGCAACCCAAUGUGUUUUGGAAAAAACCCGGGGUGAAAGCCAGCACAUUGUCAGACUCCUUCCUGCAGCACCGCCCAUCGCAUCACACUCAAGACAAAACAUCUCCCUCUCCUUCACUAGGACACUUUUCAGCCCAACACGGAGCCAAGGUGCCAGGUGUAGGGGCUGCUGUUGAUACUGAUGGGGUGUCUGAAAGAAAUGAUUUCUUUGAGAUUUUCAGAGGUUUAAUUUGCACCAGGAUCAGAGAUAUUUCAUUCCGCCACUGAUACGCGGCAUCUCGGUCCAUUCUGUGUGCAAAAGCACUGGCAGAGAAUUUCAAGGUUCCUUGAUGACAGCAGCCUGGACGCAUAUGAAAGAGAGAGCAGAGUGAAGGUAACGCUGGAACUCAGCUUUUAUGGCCCAUUCCCUUUUGCCAAUAAACACCAUCUUCCUGACCAGGCAUUAAAUAUGA